UGUAUGCAGUAGUAGGCAAUGAAUCCCACCAAAUGCAUUUAAGUUUUUCUGUCGUUUUAGCGUUUAUUUUCAGUUCAAAUCAAAUAAAGUUCUGGAACAUUCUGGGCCAGAAUUAUAAACUGCUGAUCUGCCAUCAUCAACAACAUCACCCCAUUGCUUUCACUUUCCACUGGUGGUGCUUUGACAUCUCUUCUCAGCUGUUCACUGGGAACUCUGGAGGAGAAGGAGUAGAGUGACUCACACUGGAGUGAACGCACCGUGGAUAAGAGGAGAGGUGGGAGGAUGACAUCACAACAUUCAGAACACUGAAGAGCAGCAUAUGGAGGCUCCAAGAAAACCUGUUCAUCAAGACGCUACGCCAUGAACUGGAGCCAUGUGGGGGUCAAAGUGUCAACCAUCCUGCCAUCUUCAUACAAGACAGAAACCAUGCUUUUAUCUCCCUUCAAGAAACCACAAACCUUCCUACCUACCACAAACAUCCUACAGGACUUGAAACUCCAACUACUAAGCCUCCAUUCCAACCCCUCCAUUCCAACGCCUCAAUUCCAACCCCUCCAUUCCAACCCCUCCAUUCCAACCCCUCC